GCAAACUUGGUCAUUUAGAGGAAGUAAAAGUCGUAACAAGGUUUCCGUAGGUGAACCUGCGGAAGGAUCAUUAUUGAAUUAAAAUAAGGAUGUGCUGGUGGUCUAUCUUGGCUGCAUGUGCACUCCAAAAUCCAAUCUCAUUCACCUGUGCACUCUAAGUAGGAGACCUUUGAAGCAGACAGAUUUUACUGUUUGUUGAAAAGGAAUUCUAUGUUUUUUUUAUACACACAAAUGAUUUUAUAAAGAAAAUGCUGUAUGCAUAUAUAUAAACAACUUUCAACAAUGGAUCUCUUGGUUCUCGCAUCGAUGAAGAACGCAGC
rnacentral:misc_RNA from 1 species